GUUCCGGGCGGCGGCCGCUCCGGGGCUCCGCGGGACUCCCCAUGCCCCCCCGCGGCUGUUCAGCUGGUACCGGUCCGCUCUGUCCGACCCAGAACCGCAGCGUCCGCGCGCGAGACCCUCCCGUCACAAUAGCAAGUAUGAGCCGUAGCCUGGACCAGACUGAAGACGGAACCAGACAACCUGCACAUCUACCGCCGGAUGCUGAUGAAGCCCCUCCAGCGUCGGUCCGGUCCAGUCGGUCUCAUGGAGGGAUGUGUGUCUCUGAUCAGAACCCGGUUCUGUUCUGUUUCAGUCGACUGUCUCUGAGCGACGGCCUCGUCCGGUUCUGUGAUCCGGGAUCUGCUGCUCCAGAGGAGAAAGAAGGAUGUCGGACGGGUUCUGCAGAACAGGAAGUUUGGAGUUCCAACUUUAGCCAACAGGAAUGUCUUUCUGAGAGGACAAGUUCUCAAAGGUCCCGGUGGAUCUCUCGGAUCUCCGGCGCUGAGAGGGAUCCAUCAGAAAAUCACAGCGAUCAAAUCUAGAUUUUGAAUCCAUUAACGGUUCAUUUGAUCCAAAAGGCGAUAAGGAAAAGGAGAGCGGUGGAUUCUGGGAGAAGAUGACGAAAAUUAAAAUAACUUUAUUAAAGAUCCUCAUUAAAAUAAUGUAUUCAGUUUAGAAUUGCAGAAGUUCUGAGGAGGAGAAGCUGGUGAACAAAACGUUUCAUGUUUGUCAUGUUUGAACUUCCUGAUCGGAUGAAAGUAAAUAAAUAAAACCGGAAAUGAAAAAGUA